rnacentral:rRNA from 1 species
UACGUAGGGUGCAAGCGUUGUCCGGAAUUAUUGGGCGUAAAGAGCUCGUAGGCGGCCUGUCGCGUCGGCUGUGAAAUCCCGAGGCUCAACCUCGGGUCUGCAGUCGAUACGGGCAAACUGGAGUGUUGCAGGGGAGACUGGAAUUCCUGGUGUAGCGGUGAAAUGCGCAGAUAUCAGGAGGAACACCGGUGGCGAAGGCGGGUCUCUGGGCAACAACUGACGCUGAGGAGCGAAAGCGUGGGGAGCGAACAGG